AGUCGUACUGAAGGACCUGGAGAUUCCUAGAGAGGUGUUCUCUCAGACGGUGAUGCCUUGCACCAGCAGCUUACAUAGGGAAGAACAAGCCACCUCUUGUCUCCUUCGGCUUUUGACAGCACUGUGCUAAACUUCACAAGCCACAGCUCUGAGGACAGAACCACAGAUAGAAGGAUAUUUAACUUUGCCAGCAUGAAAGCCCUUUGCUUAGGGAUGGUCAGAUAUUCCAAGUACCUGGCACCCUACUCUCCAGUUCUCCUGAUUUGACAGGUAUGAUCCCUAUUAAUCCACUGUCUUUAUUAUUUUUCAGCUGUUUUAAAAAUGUCCCCAUUUCCCUCACCUCCUCACAC